GCCUACGGGGGGCAGCAGUAGGGAAUAUUGCUCAAUGGGGGAAACCCUGAAGCAGCAACGCCGCGUGGAGGAUGAAGGUUUUCGGAUUGUAAACUCCUUUUGUUAGAGAAGAUAAUGACGGUAUCUAACGAAUAAGCACCGGUUAACUCCGUGCCAGCAGCCGCGGUAAUACGGAGGGUGCAAGCGUUACUCGGAAUCACUGGGCGUAAAGAGCGCGUAGGCGGGAUAGCAAGUCAGAUGUGAAAUCCUAUGGCUUAACCAUAGAACUGCAUUUGAAACUGUUAUUCUAGAGUAUGGGAGAGGUA
rnacentral:rRNA from 1 species